rnacentral:rRNA from 1 species
UGGGGAAUUUUGGACAAUGGGCGCAAGCCUGAUCCAGCCAUGCCGCGUGAGUGAAGAAGGCCUUCGGGUUGUAAAGCUCUUUCGGUGGGGAAGAAAUUGCACUCUCUAAUACAGGGUGUAGAUGACGGUACCCGCAUAAGAAGCACCGGCUAACUACGUGCCAGCAGCCGCGGUAAUACGUAGGGUGCGAGUGUUAAUCGGAAUUACUGGGCGUAAAGCGUGCGCAGGCGGUUGUAUAAGUCAGAUGUGAAAUCCCCGGGCUCAACCUGGGAACUGCAUUGGAGACUGUACGGCUAGAGUGUGGCAGAGGGGGGUGGAAUUCCACGUGUAGCAGUGAAAUGCGUAGAGAUGUGGAGGAACACCGAUGGCGAAGGCAGCCCCCUGGGCCAAUACUGACGCUCAUGCACGAAAGCGUGGGGAGCAAACA